CUCCCCGUAACUCAGUUGGCUAGAGUGCCGGGCUUCUACCCCGGAUGUCGGGGGUUCGAGUCCUCCCGGGGAGGCCA
rnacentral:tRNA from 1 species